UGCAGUCGAACGGUAACAUUGGUGCUUGCACCAGAUGACGAGUGGCGCACGGGUGCGUAACGCGUAUGCAAUCUACCUUUUACUAGAGUAUAGCCCAGAGAAAUUUGGAUUAAUCCUCUAUAAUAUCUUUUAAUUUCAUGAUUUUAAGAUUAAAGUUUUAACGGUAAAAGAUGAGCAUGCGUCCUAUUAGUUUGUAGGUGAGGUAACGGCUCACCUAGACUACGAUAGGUAGGGGCCCUGAGAGGGGGAUCCCCCACACUGGUACUGAGACACGGACCAGACUCCUACGGGAGGCAGCAGUAAGGAAUAUUGGACAAUGGACGAAAGUCUGAUCCAGCCAUGCCGCGUGCAGGAUGAAAGCCCUACGGGUUGUAAACUGCUUUUAUACAGGAAGAAACACUCCGACGUGUCGGAGCUUGACGGUACUGUAAGAAUAAGGAUCGGCUAACUCCGUGCCAGCAGCCGCGGUAAUACGGAGGAUCCAAGCGUUAUCCGGAAUCAUUGGGUUUAAAGGGUCCGCAGGCUGUUUUUUAAGUCAGAGGUGAAAUCCUACAGCUCAACUGUAGAACUGCCUUUGAUACUGAAAAACUUGAGUUAUUGUGAAGUGGUUAGAAUGUGUGGUGUAGCGGUGAAAUGCAUAGAUAUCACACAGAAUACCGAUUGCGAAGGCAGAUCACUAACAAUAUACUGACGCUCAUGGACGAAAGCGUGGGGAGCGAACAGGAUUAGAUACCCUGGUAGUCCGCGCCGUAAACGAUGGAUACUAGCUGUUCGUCUAACAUUGGUUAGAUGAGUGGCUAAGCGAAAGUGAUAAGUAUCCCACCUGGGGAGUACGGUCGCAAGACUGAAACUCAAAGGAAUUGACGGGGGCCCGCACAAGCGGUGGAGCAUGUGGUUUAAUUCGAUGAUACGCGAGGAACCUUACCAGGGCUUAAAUGUAGUGGGACAG
rnacentral:rRNA from 1 species